rnacentral:rRNA from 1 species
AGAGUUUGAUCCUGGCUCAGAACGAACGCUGGCGGCGCGCUUAACACAUGCAAGUCGAACGAGAAGCUGUAGCAAUACAGUUGUAAAGUGGCAAACGGGUGAGUAAUGCGUGGGUAAUCUACCCUAGGGUGGGGAAUAACUCCUCGAAAGGGGAGCUAAUGCCGACAUGUGCGCCACUCUCGCAAGGGAGUGAUGGAAAGCCGUACCGUGGGUGCGGCGCCCAAGGAUGAGCUCACGUCCUAUCAGCUUGUUGGCGGGGUAACGGCCCACCAAGGCUGCGACGGGUAGCUGGUCUGAGAGGACGACCAGCCACACUGGCACUGCGACACGGGCCAGACUCCUACGGGAGGCAGCAGUGAGGAAUAUUGCGCAAUGGACGACAGUCUGACGCAGCGACGCCGCGUGGGGGAUGAAGGCCUUCGGGUUGUAAACCCCUUUCAGGAGGGAAGAUGGGACGGGUAACCGUUCGGACGGUACCUCCAGAAGCAGCCACGGCUAACUCUGUGCCAGCAGCCGCGGUAAGACAGAGGUGGCAAGCGUUGUUCGGAUUUACUGGGCGUAAAGAGUGCGUAGGUGGUGAGGUAAGAUCUGUGGGAAAGACCUGGGCUUAACCCAGGAAGGUCGCAGAUGACUGCCUCGCUUGAGGACGGGAGAGGAGAGCGGAAUUCCCGGUGUAGCGGUGAAAUGCGUAGAGAUCGGGAAGAAGGCCGGUGGCGAAGGCGGCUCUCCGGAACGUUCCUGACACUGAGGCACGAAAGCGUGGGGAGCAAACAGGAUUAGAUACCCUGGUAGUCC